ACUCCACUCAAAUUAAAACCCUAGCGGCAAAACCUUCGCUCUGCACCGCCGUCGCCUGCUCCCGUCCCGCCACCACAUCCGCCCAGGAGCUCGCCGUCGGGGAGGCUGCUCGAGGAGCCGCGCUGUCUCUCCCGCGCCGUGACCUUCGCCCUCGCCGCCGCCAUGAUCUACGCGAUCUCCGGCGAGGUGCCGGACGAGCCGGUGGUGUCGAAGAAGUCGGGGCUUCUCUUCGAGCGGCGGCUCAUCGAGCGCUACAUUGAGGACCAUGGCAAGUGCCCCAUCACCAAGGAGGAGCUUACUAUGGAUGAUAUUGUGCCGGUCAA